UACGUAGGGUGCAAGCGUUGUCCGGAAUUAUUGGGCGUAAAGAGCUCGUAGGCGGUCUGUCGCGUCGGCUGUGAAAACCCGGAGCUCAACUCCGGGCCUGCAGUCGAUACGGGCAGACUGGAGUUCGGCAGGGGAGACUGGAAUUCCUGGUGUAGCGGUGAAAUGCGCAGAUAUCAGGAGGAACACCGGUGGCGAAGGCGGUCUCUGGGCAUUACCUGACGCUGAGGAGCGAAAGCUAGGGGAGCGAACAGG
rnacentral:rRNA from 1 species